rnacentral:miRNA from 1 species
CAAGAAGUGGAAGUUUUGGGC